rnacentral:lncRNA from 1 species
GGUGGCAAAGCCUGUGGAGUACUCACCUACCUGCUGCAUGAAGGCAGCAUGGAGGGACUGUGGUGGAUUAUCUGCAAAGAUGGCCAAAAUUCUCUCAUCCCUGCAGGCACAUACAAGGUUGUUGCAUGGCAUAAGUAAAGUGACAGUUAUAGGAUACAUGCAACUUUUCAGUGACAAAGAUCUGUGCAGCAUCGACAGUACUGCCUAAUGAGGUUUCACCAUAAUGAAGUAUCACAACCAGUUUACAGACCAGAAAACUGAGACACAGGAAGGGGUGGUGACUUGAGCAAGGUGCAUCAGCUGGAGUUUGCAGUUCACCCGCAAACCUCAGCGAUCCAAGCUCCCCUGGAUGACCAUCACUCACCAAGAAAAGAGCAAUAACAGGACCUGUUUUGCUAAUCCAGGACUGUUCUCCAGCACUAACUCUAAAUAAUCCCUUCUGCUAGAGUCCACUUUCUGGAACCUGUUGCCUCCGUUUUCAACGUUUCCCAAACUUGGUCCGUUGUGUGAGCUGGCUGAUAAAAGUUCCAGGGAGAAGACAUCUUACUCUUAUUGGAUCAUGCACAGUGCCUGAAGCAUUCUGUUGCAUGUAGAAGUCAGUAAAUUGCAGAUGUAAGAUUCAAAACCAGACUUCACAUCUACCGACUUCAGUGACCCUGAAAUUUGUUCACAGAGAGCAUUUAACAUAACUGUCUUCAUCAUCUCCUUCUCUACAUUAAAAAUUAUGG